GCCUUGCUAGCUCAAUCGGUAGAGCGUGUGACUCUUACUUUCUGUCCUUGUACAGUAUUAUAGUCAUCACAAGGUUGGGGGUUCGAGCCCCCCGUAGGGCU